GCGGCCGCUGUGGAGCUUUACAACAGGCGCCCCCGACCCCUCAAGGCGCGUACCCGCGCAGGCCGUGGGCGCGCACGGCUGCUGUCGCCGUUUGUUCUGGUGGAGGCUGCGAGUGCCUGGGCCUGGGACGCCCGGCUCUGCGCGCGGCAUGCUCUGGACAUCAUUCCUAACAACACAAUUCCAGGGUGGCUGAAACAAUAUGUAUUGUCUCACAGAUCCGGAGGCUUUGGGUCGAUUCCGGACUCUGAUGAUAAUCUGUCCCAUGCCUGUCUUCCUGGCUUCUGGUAGACUCGGGCAUUCCUUAGCUUGUAAAUGGCUGCUGCUUGUGUCAUCACAUUGUCUUCCCUCUCUACUUAUCUGUCCCCAUGCCCCAAUUUUUCCUUUUCAGGACGCCAGUCAGAUUAGAUUAGGACCCACCUAAUGAUCUCAUCUUAACUUGAUGAACUACAAGGACCCUAUUUUUAAGUAAGUCCACAUUUACAGGGACUAGGGGGGCACGACUUCAGCAUUUUGUUGGAGGGAUGCAGUUCAACCCAUAACAAGAAUCAUUGUUAGAAAUUGAUGAUUUUGCGUCUUCACUGA